CGAGCUGGUGUUUUUGUCCAAUUAGACUACUACGCUGCUGGCUGGCAUACGCCAGGGAGACAGACAGGUCAGUCUAUGGUCUAAAUGCCAGCUGUGCUGUGGAGCAAUGGCCUGUGAGAUUGACCUGCCUGACCUACGCCUUCUAGCUAGCCCUGCCUGACCCACUUUGCUGAAACACACCAAGAACUUCUACAACUUACCUCUACAAAAAUACACACGUGAAAUACUUUUUUUGAACCUAAUUAUUCAUGUAAGAAGACAUGAUUCACAUGUGUGGGGGGCAACACGGUGGCAAUCUUUCACCACACAGUCAUCCUGCCAGGACAGCCCACAUACGUUUUUGCUUAGAUGAUAGACCUUUGAUCCUCAAUUCAUUAAAGCAGCUAUAAUCUAAUAAAAUAAUAUUUUAUUUAUCAAUA